GGGGCUGUAGCUCAGAUGGGAGAGCGCUUGAAUGGCAUUCAAGAGGUCAGGGGUUCGAUUCCCCUCAGCUCCACCAACU
rnacentral:tRNA from 1 species